GUCACACAGGUCAGCUGACUGGCUCACUCACAACCAGGAAGUUGAAAUUUUCCUAAGUGUCACAUUCUCCCUCAUGUCAUCCUUACCAUGAUGGCCACAAGGCUGGAUGGAGAACUUGGAGAUCCACAUUGUUGAAGACUUGGAUCGAGAAGAGUCAAAGAAUGUGGACAUUUGUUUUUCUAUUUGGCUUGGGUAGAAGAAAAUGAAGGUUUGGCACAUGUACAACUGGUGAGCUUAUUAUAAAUUGUAAUUAUGUAAAGAAUAGGGGCACAUAAUCUAUAGAUUAUAAUAAGACAUACAAUAUUCAUCAUUAUCCAUGCUAUAUAGUCAGUGGUAGGUUUCAACCAAUGGAUGUUUUAUGGGAGUGUCACUUUUAUCCAUAAGAAACCUGUAGCUGUUAUUGAGAACUGUGAAGCUUUCCUACGGAAAAGAGUUGAUUGUUUUCGCCAAAGAGCAAGAUAAACUUACAUCAAAUAAAGCUGUGUGUCGGAACUUUGAGUGAAUACC